GGCAUGCCUCAAGAACAAGAAUUGGAUUAUCAUCCAAAGGGUUAAUCUUUUUGACGCUUUUCAGUUACAAAAGAUUGGACCCCACCCCUCUGCUUUUCUACAAAUGGAAUGAACUUUCUUCGUUAAUUUGUCCACCAGAAUGAGUUUCUCUUCUUUCUCUCUUUGGCUUCUCCUCAUCUUCUGCGUCAUAUUUUCCAAUGUUGUUACGGUGAAUGCAUUCAAAGGAACAUUUGGAGUAAACUAUGGUAAGAUAGCGGAUAAUUUACCUGCACCAGGUGUUGUGGUGACGCUUCUCAGAGCUGCCAAGAUUAAAAAUAUUAAAAUCUAUGAUGCUGAUCAUGAAGUCCUCAAGGCCUUCAAAGGUUCUGGCAUUGAAAUAAUAGUUGGAAUUGGCAAUGAGUAUUUGAAAGAAAUGAGUGUAGGCGAGGAUCGCGCGAUCAGUUGGAUCAAAGAAAAUGUGCAGCCAUUCCUUCCUGGAACUAAAAUUGUAGGAAUUACUGUAGGAAAUGAGAUCUUGGGGGGUGACGACCAUGAGCUCUGGGAAGUUUUGCUGCCUUCUGUCAAAAAUGUUUAUUCAGCUCUUCGGAGGCUGGGUUUGGAAAAGUCUGUUGAGGUCUCCAGCCCACAUUCAGAGGCUGUUUUUGCCAGUUCCUACCCUCCAUCUGCAUGUGUUUUCAAGGAAGAUGUUCUUAUAUACAUGAAGCCGUUGUUGCAGUUCUUCUCGCAGAUUGGUUCUCCUUUCUACAUAAAUGCCUAUCCUUUUCUAGCCUACAAGAGUGAUCCUGAGCAUAUUGACGUUAACUAUGCUCUUUUUAAAUCAAAUCCUGGAAUUGUAGAUACAAAGACUAAUCUACACUAUGAUAACAUGUUUGAUGCUCAGGUUGAUGCAGCUUAUGCUGCCCUGGAAAAGGCAGGGUUUCCCAAGAUGGAAGUCAUAGUUUCUGAAACUGGCUGGGCGUCUCGUGGAGAUGCAAAUGAAGCAGGUGCUACAUUGCAAAAUGCUAGGACCUACAAUUAUAAUCUGAAGAAACGGCUAUCUAAAAAGAAGGGUACCCCCUAUAGGCCUAAAACUGUGGUGAGAGCUUAUAUUUUCGCAUUGUUCAAUGAGAAUUUAAAGCCUGGGCCAACUUCUGAGAGAAACUUUGGAUUGUUCAAACCUGAUGGAAGCAUAGCAUAUGAUAUUGGAUUCACGGGACUUAAAGAAUCAUCUGCAGUUUCAUAUCUUCUUUCUUUCAAGGGCAUUGGAGCUUCCACUUGGCUGGGUUCUUCCUAUUCAUUAGUUUCUGCAACCUGCACAGCAGUUCUGCUAUUAGUUUCAGCUUUAUGACUGGUGUCAAAAGGUCUAGAGCUUCUUUUAUCCAUGUUCAGUACGAUGGUGCAGCAGGGCAAGGAAAUGACUUCAGGCUCUUGAAUUUGCUAAUGUAGUUUGUAACAUAUCAAUGUGUAACCAAUUCAUUUGCUGAUCUUGUACAGACAAUUAAUUGUUGAAUCAAUUGAUCACUGAAAAACUGCGGAUUCUUAUUUUUUCAAGUAUCUUUU
rnacentral:misc_RNA from 1 species